CACUUAUUUUUGCCUUUGUUGCUUUUGCUUUUUGUGUCAGAUACAAAAAAUCAUUGCCAAGACCUAUGUCAAGGAACUUACUGCCUCUGUUUUCAUCUAUUUUGAGUUAAUUUUUGUGUAUGGUGCAAGAUAGGGAUCCACGCAAAAGUUUCAUUCUUUUGCAUGUGGAUAUCCAGUUUUCCCAACACCAAAAGAGACUGUCCCUUCCCCACUAUAUAUUCUUGGCUGCUUUUGUGUACAUUACUUGACCAUAUAUGUGUGGGUUUAUUUCUGGGCUUUCUAUUCUGUUGCAUUGGACUAUGUGUCUGUUUUUAUGCCAGAACCAUACUGUUUUAAUUAUUACAGUUUUGUAAUAUACAGUAGUCCCCCCUCCCCCACAGUUUCACUUUCUGCAGUUUAAGUUACCCACAGAUGACCAUCGCCUGGAAGCAGAUGAUCCUUCUUCUAUCAUCAGAAGUGUUGACAGCAGUGCAAGGAUUGGACAAUGACGGUCUUAACACUUGCCAUGUCAACAUCAUUGGAUUGCAGCACUCAUCAAAUCAGAUUUUAAGUAAUCUCUACACCCAACAUGGGACUCAAUCUCACAACGCCAAGAUCAAGAGUCACAAGCUCCACUGACUGAGCCAGCCGGGCUCCCUUCCUUUUUUCUUUUGAUUAUACAUUGUAUGCUUAAUUUAAAGGUAUACUUCUUAAGGACAAUGCUAGGUACAAAGUGGAUGCUAAAUAAAUUCCUGUUGAAUUGAACUAAAUAAGCAUAACUAACAGAUGCUGAAAUUAUAAACUAUUUUUUAGGUUACUGGAUUAUAAACUAUUAGUAAUAUCUAGCAACUCAUGGGGUCUAAAGAUUUUUAAGUAAAUUGUCUCAAUCAACAUACUUUGAAGUGACAAAUGUCUUGACCUUACAAAGAAAUACUUUCUCAAAAAAGAAAAAUGCAGCAAUUGAACUCACUUUGUCUUAUUAUGGGAAAGUCUACCUUCUGCCAUGAAAUAAAAGAAUUGUACUAUACCUUUU